rnacentral:rRNA from 1 species
UACGGGGGGGGCAAGCGUUGUUCGGAAUUACUGGGCGUAAAGCGCACGUAGGCGGCUUCUUAAGUCGGUGGUGAAAUCCUGGAGCUCAACUCCAGAACUGCCUUCGAUACUGGGAGCUCGAGUCCGGGAGAGGUGAGUGGAACUGCGAGUGUAGAGGUGAAAUUCGUAGAUAUUCGCAAGAACACCAGUGGCGAAGGCGGCUCACUGGCCCGGUACUGACGCUGAGGUGCGAAAGCGUGGGGAGCAAACAGGG